CCUACGGGUGGCAGCAGUGGGGAAUAUUGGGCAAUGGAGGCAACUCUUACCCAGCAAUGCCGCGUGAAUGUAGAUGGUCUUUGGAUUGUAAAGUUCUUUAAUUCGGGACGAAAAAAAUUACGGUACGCAAGGAAUAAGCUCCGGCUCACUACGUGCCAGCAUACGCGGUAAUACGGAGGGGGCAAGCGUCGUUCGGAAUGACUGGGCGUAAAGGGUGUGUAGGCGGUGUAGCAAGUUAGAGGUGAAAUACCUAGAGCUUAACUGAGGUGCUGCCUCUAAGACUGCUAUACUUGAGUGCGGUAGAGGAAAGAGGAAUUCCUGGUGUAGCGGUGAAAUGCGUAGAUAUUAGGAAGAACAUCAGUGGCGAAGGCGACUUUCUGGACUGUAACUGACGCUGAGGCACGAAAGUGUGGGGAGCAAACAGGAUUAGAUACCCCUGUAGUC
rnacentral:rRNA from 1 species